CAGUCGCCGCGGUAAUACGUAGGGUGCAAGCGUUAAUCGGAAUUACUGGGCGUAAAGCGUGCGCAGGCGGUUUGUUAAGACAGAUGUGAAAUCCCCGGGCUCAACCUGGGAACUGCAUUUGUGACUGGCAAGCUAGAGUGUGGCAGAGGGGGGUGGAAUUCCGCGUGUAGCAGUGAAAUGCGUAGAUAUGCGGAGGAACACCGAUGGCGAAGGCAGCCCCCUGGGCCAACACUGACGCUCAUGCACGAAAGCGUGGGGAGCAAACAGGAUUAGAUACCCCCGUAGUCCCUGUCUCUUAUAC
rnacentral:rRNA from 1 species